UGCUUCUAUCACACUCCAGUGCUUUUAAGCAGGUUUUCCCCCCAUAUUUUACCUAAAGUUUAUAGCUGUUACCUGUGGAAAGGUUGGUUCAGUGGGGGCUAUUCUGCCAUUACCAAAAGUUGGGUCCUGUUCUCUACUUUUUAAUUGGCCGGAAAAGAGGCAUAAACUCGGAGAACCCAAGACCCCGGCCUGGCGUGCAGCCCCAGCAGCCGGACCAGCCUUGGGCAACAGCGUGCGACGUUCAGCUGUCUGUGUCUCCAGUGCUCCCAUUCCAUCGCACCUGAAUGAGGGAUUUGGGAGGUAAAACAGGGCUGAGCGUGCGUUCGAGCUUCUCCUGCAUCAUGACCAGGAUGCUCUGGGACACCUUGUCCACGUCUGUGUCCACCAGUCCUGCUCAGAAUCUCCCCAGGGGCUUUUCCACGAUGCCCAUCCAGGCGUCACCCUCACUCUAGGCCAGGAGGAGAAGGCAUGCCCUGAGGAUUCAGCCUCUUCUUCUUCAUCCCUCCCAGCACCCAGUGUGUUGGGUGCACACAUUAUGGUUCCAAACCAGAGUUUCCCUAGGAAAUAAACACGGAGGGGCUGAAAGGACCUGGGGCCAUCGGGGGUGGAUGGCCAUAUCCUGGGGCCUUGAUGCCAGUGCCGACUGUUCCCUGCACGCUUCCACGUCCACGCCAACAUUGCAAGGCUAUGUCACGGACUGGAACAGCUACAGUGAUGACACACCUGAGGUGAACACAACUCCAGCAGCAUCCUGGCCUCUCAUGGGGCAAGUGCAUGUGGAAUCUAGAAACUUCACAGCUGAGCCUGCAAAGGUGCUCAUGGCAUGCAGAAGUGUUUCUGGAUCCAGUGGUAGGAAGUCAUUUCAAGCAGCUUGUGAACAUUCACAGAAGCAGCUCAGGAUCAUCCUGCUGCUUCUGAGAGCAGGUGUCGGGCCCCAGGCUGGAGGCCACGUGCCAGGCUGGCAGGAUUUGUCCACUGUGAAGCUCGACGCCCCCGCAGGCCCUGUGCUGCCCGCCCGGAUCCCCCUGCCUCAGGAUGCCCUCCACACCCUCCGAAUUCCCAGCCGCUGCUCUGGGGCCUGCACAGAGGGCUUGGGCCCAGCACCUGGAAACUCCAAAGAGGCAAACGGGUUCAUGUCCAGGUUUUGUCAGAUCGCUUCCGAGGCUGCCCUCUUCGCCGUGGCUGCUGAGUGCAGAGCUGGGCAUCUGAGUGGACAGAGUGGUGCUCCGCUUCCUUGCAUCUCCUGGGCCAUGCGUGGUGACCUGUGCCCACUGCAUCGCUCCUGUGUGCCCUGUGCAUGUGACCGUGUCUUUCCCGUGUAUUCAGUGCUGCUUCAUGUCUUCCAGUUCCGCUUUGUGGUUUGUGAGUGACCAGUGCAUCCCGUUCCUGCUGCAGCAGCUGCAAUGUGCACUGUCCUGCAGGAAGCCCUCGGGGUAGGGCCUGGGGGCUGUGGGAAGCUCAGCAACAAGGUAAGGGAAUGGGCAGCUUUGUUUUAUUUAUUUAUUUAUUUUUACUAUUUAAUUAUCUCACCUUAUUACACUUUAAUUAAAAUAUCGAUCUUUACACAAUACACUUGAACUGUGGAAUAAAGCAGGACCAGAUGUGGA
ensembl:lncRNA LINC00452 long intergenic non-protein coding RNA 452